ACGGGUGAGUAAUGCAUGGGAACGUGCCUCGAAGCGGGGGAUAACUACGGGAAACUGUAGCUAAUACCGCAUAAUAUCUAACGAUUAAAGGUGGCCUCUAUUUAUAAGCUACUACUUCGAGAUCGGCCCAUGUCCCAUUAGCUAGUUGGCGGGGUAACGGCCCACCAAGGCGACGAUGGGUAGCUGGUCUGAGAGGAUGAUCAGCCACACUGGAACUGAGACACGGUCCAGACUCCUACGGGAGGCAGCAGUGGGGAAUUUUGCACAAUGGAGGAAACUCUGAUGCAGCAACGCCGCGUGAGUGAUGAAGGCCUUUGGGUCGUAAAGCUCUUUCGGUCGGGAAGAAGGGUGGUAUGGCUAAUAUCUUUACCAUUUGACGGUACCAAAAUAAGAAGCACCUGCUAACUUCGUGCCAGCAGCAGCGGUAAUACGAAGGGUGCAAGCGUUGUUCGGAAUUACUGGGCGUAAAGGGCGCGUAGGCUGGUUUGUAAGUCUAAUGUGAAAUCCCCGGGCUCAACCCGGGACGUGCAUUGGAAACUGCAGAUCUUGAAUGCUUAAGAGGGUGGUAGAAUUCCAGGAGUAGAAGUG
rnacentral:rRNA from 1 species